AACGAACGCUGGCGGCAUGCCUAACACAUGCAAGUCGAACGAGAUCCCUCGGGGUCUUGUGGCGCACGGGUGCGUAACGCGUGGGAAUCUGCCCUUAGGUCCGGAAUAACAGUUAGAAAUGACUGCUCAUACCGGAUGAUGACGUUAAGUCCAAAGAUUUAUCGCCUGAGGAUGAGCCCACGUAGGAUUAGCUCGUUGGUGUGGUAAAGGCGCACCAAGGCGAGGAUCCUUAGCUGGUCAGAGAGGAUGAUCAGCCACACUGGGACUGAGACACGGCCCAGAAUCCUACGGGAGGCAGCAGUGGGGAAUAUUGGACAAUGGGCGCAAGCAUGAUGCAGCAAUGCCGCGUGAGUGAUGAAGGCCUUAGGGUUGUAAAGCUCUUUUACCCGGGAUGAUAAUGACAGUACCGGGAGAAUAAGCCCCGGCUAACUCCGUG
rnacentral:rRNA from 1 species